GAUGAACGCUGGCGGCGUGCUUAACACAUGCAAGUCGAACGAAGCAUUUCUUCGGACAAGAUGAAUAGUUUACUAGGAUUUGAGUCUUUGAAAUGACUUAGUGGCGGACGGGUGAGUAACGCGUGGGUAACCUGCCUUGUACUGGGGGACAACAGUUAGAAAUGACUGCUAAUACCGCAUAAGCACACAGCACCGCAUGGUGCAGUGUGAAAAACUCCGGUGGUACAAGAUGGACCCGCGUCUGAUUAGCUAGUUGGUGAGGUAAUGGCUCACCAAGGCAACGAUCAGUAGCCGACUUGAGAGAGUGAUCGGCCACAUUGGGACUGAGACACGGCCCAAACUCCUACGGGAGGCAGCAGUGGGGAAUAUUGCACAAUGGGCGAAAGCCUGAUGCAGCGACGCCGCGUGAGCGAUGAAGUAUUUCGGUACGUAAAGCUCUAUCAGCAGGGAAGAUAAUGACGGUACCUGACUAAGAAGCACCGGCUAAAUACGUG
rnacentral:rRNA from 1 species